rnacentral:rRNA from 1 species
UGGGGAAUUUUGGACAAUGGGCGCAAGCCUGAUCCAGCCAUGCCGCGUGCAGGAUGAAGGCCUUCGGGUUGUAAACUGCUUUUGUACGGAACGAAAAGGCUUUCUCUAAUAAAGGGAGCUCAUGACGGUACCGUAAGAAUAAGCACCGGCUAACUACGUGCCAGCAGCCGCGGUAAUACGUAGGGUGCAAGCGUUAAUCGGAAUUACUGGGCGUAAAGCGUGCGCAGGCGGUGAUGUAAGACAGUUGUGAAAUCCCCGGGCUCAACCUGGGAACUGCAUCUGUGACUGCAUCGCUGGAGUGCGGCAGAGGGGGAUGGAAUUCCGCGUGUAGCAGUGAAAUGCGUAGAUAUGCGGAGGAACACCGAUGGCGAAGGCAAUCCCCUGGGCCUGCACUGACGCUCAUGCACGAAAGCGUGGGGAGCAAACAGG